ACCCCCUUUGGACAUCCGUGCGAACUUGGUAGAGAUACCUUGGUGCCUUCGGGAACGCACAGACAGGUGCUGCAUGGCUGUCGUCAGCUCGUGUUGUGAAAUGUUGGGUUAAGUCCCGUAACGAGCGCAACCCUUGUCCCUAUUUGCCAGCGAUUCGGUCGGGAACUCUAGGGAGACUGCCGGUGACAAACCGGAGGAAGGUGGGGACGACGUCAAGUCAUCAUGGCCCUUACGGGUAGGGCUACACACGUGCUACAAUGGCCGGUACAAAGGGUUGCGAAUCCGCGAGGUGGAGCUAAUCCCGAAAAGCCGGUCUCAGUCCGGAUCGGAGUCUGCAACUCGACUCCGUGAAGUCGGAAUCGCUAGUAAUCGUGCAUCAGAAUGGCACGGUGAAUACGUUCCCGGGUCUUGUACACACCG
rnacentral:rRNA from 1 species